rnacentral:rRNA from 1 species
UACGGAGGGAGCUAGCGUUGUUCGGAAUUACUGGGCGUAAAGCGCACGUAGGCGGCUUUGUAAGUUAGAGGUGAAAGCCCGGGGCUCAACUCCGGAACUGCCUUUAAGACUGCAUCGCUUGAAUCCAGGAGAGGUGAGUGGAAUUCCGAGUGUAGAGGUGAAAUUCGUGGAUAUUCGGAAGAACACCAGUGGCGAAAGCGACUAACUGGACAUGUAUUGACGCUGAGGUGCGAAAGCGUGGGGAGCAAACAGG